ensembl:lncRNA
AAAAAAUCUGGUGGGAGGCUUCACCCUGGUGUUGCCAGAUGAUCAUGACCUGUAGACAUCUAAACACCCAGCUGGGUAACAAGACUUUACAGGGUCAUCUGUUGGGUUCUUAACUGCGAGUUCAGGCAAGAGAUUCCUGCUGAAAUGCACAUGUCUGCUGAUGGAGCCACACGUGGUCUCCCAGCUCCUGGCAGCUCUGUAACAGUUUCACGUGGUCUUCUUUAGUGAGGAGAAAGGCCUCCUUCCUGGUGUGUGUUCAGUUAGGAGGGUCCCCACAGUAGGUUUACCUGGGCCCUGAAUUGUUACAAAGUUGUUGCCUCCAUUGUAUAUACAUAGGGGAACUGAGCUUUAGAGAGUUAGUUCUGCUGCCCAAGGUCAGCUGUGAGUGGGUGUGGAGGCAGGUUGUUUAGGUUAAGUGUCUGCCUUCCCUCCUCCAAGACCUGAAAUGUGUCUUGUUCAUCUUUCGAUUCCCUUCUCUAUAGGACUUAGUAAGUGCCUUAUGUAUAGUGGGCAUUUAGCAAUAUUUGCUGACUUGGAGCAAAUAUGGCAUGACUCAGCCCCAUCUAGGCUUCUGGAGUGCUAGUUAUUCCAUACUAGUUAACUAUCAAAAUUCUUACAUCCCUGCCAGAUCAGAGAUUAAAAGGGAAAAGUAGGGGAGACUGGCCUCCUGGUAGCAGAGGUGAACGUCACAGAAAGCCAUGGGCAGUCUCUCAGUCCCUGGAACUUCCAGCUCUCUGGCUGUGCCUCCAUCCUCAAAUCUGGUUCUCUCCUGCAAUCAGCCCAGUAGUUAAACUGAUCACACAAUUUUCAAGGAAACUAAGCAGACUAAUUUCAAUUCACUUUUCAGACUGAAUGAAACACAAGACAUUUACCCCAAAAAAUGGUGCAUGAAAAGCCGGACGUUUUUUGUUUGGUUCAGUGCUGAGCAGUCAGAUAGAUUUAGAUAGAGGAAAAAUGUUCAAAUUGGUAAGGAAAUUACACAGCAAAAGUAUAAAAAUUAAUUCUGCAUUUUCAAAGUGGGAGGAGGAAAAAUGGCCUCUUCCCCAGUAAUCUGCUUAAAAGCCAAUGAUUCUCUGUUAAUACGGAUAAGGAAAGAAUCCAAACCAUCACUUAUGGUCUUUUUAUGACUAGCAUCUAUCAGGCUAUGACACUGAAGCCAGGUUCCUUUGUUUGAGCACGGUGGCCUGCAAUGGAAAUGUGGAUGCCGUCUUGACAACAAAGGUAGAACUGCUUCCUAAAGGGAAGGAGGAGCUGAGGUGAAUUGAAUGCAAUGUUAGGAGCCCUUAAAACCGGAUGACUCAUAGGUGAGAUGGGUUCCAGCAGUUUCCACCUUCAUGCUGCAGUAACAUAAACUCUCUCUUGCUUCAGAGACUCUGGGGCUAAUUACCUCUGAGAUCUUAAUAUGAAGCUUUUACUCUCCUAAGAUAGGCCAUUGCAGGUAGGUGAAUAUUUAAUUGACCCAAUAAAAGGAGGGCAUACUUGCUCCCUCCUUGAAGUCUCAGCUAACCAGUUAUCUGCUAAAAGGAAUCUAACAAAUACACAGAGUUUAAAAAAUGUAAUGCUUUGGGGGCUGGCCCCGUGGCCCAGUGGUUAAGUUCGCCCGCUCCGCUGCAGGCGGCCCAGUGUUUCGUUGGUUCGAAUCCUGGGCGUAGACAUGGCACUGCUCAUCAAACCACGCUGAGGCAGCGUCCCACAUGCCACAACUAGAAGGACCCACAACAAAGAAUGUACAACUAUGUACC